UUAAGCGACUAAGCGUACACGGUGGAUGCCCUGGCAGUCAGAGGCGAUGAAGGACGUGCUAAUCUGCGAUAAGCGUCGGUAAGGUGAUAUGAACCGUUAUAACCGGCGAUUUCCGAAUGGGGAAACCCAGUGUGAUUUGUCACACUAUCAUUAACUGAAUCCAUAGGUUAAUGAGGCGAACCGGGGGAACUGAAACAUCUAAGUACCCCGAGGAAAAGAAAUCAACCGAGAUUCCCCCAGUAGCGGCGAGCGAACGGGGAGGAGCCCAGAGCCUGAAUCAGUGUGUGUGUUAGUGGAAGCGUCUGGAAAGGCGCGCGAUACAGGGUGACAGCCCCGUACACAAAAAUGCACAUGCUGUGAGCUCGAUGAGUAGGGCGGGACACGUGGUAUCCUGUCUGAAUAUGGGGGGACCAUCCUCCAAGGCUAAAUACUCCUGACUGACCGAUAGUGAACCAGUACCGUGAGGGAAAGGCGAAAAGAACCCCGGCGAGGGGAGUGAAAAAGAACCUGAAACCGUGUACGUACAAGCAGUGGGAGCACGCUUCGGCGUGUGACUGCGUACCUUUUGUAUAAUGGGUCAGCGACUUAUAUUCUGUAGCAAGGUUAACCGAAUAGGGGAGCCGAAGGGAAACCGAGUCUUAACUGGGCGUUAAGUUGCAGGGUAUAGACCCGAAACCCGGUGAUCUAGCCAUGGGCAGGUUGAAGGUUGGGUAACACUAACUGGAGGACCGAACCGACUAAUGUUGAAAAAUUAGCGGAUGACUUGUGGCUGGGGGUGAAAGGCCAAUCAAACCGGGAGAUAGCUGGUUCUCCCCGAAAGCUAUUUAGGUAGCGCCUCGUGAAUUCAUCUCCGGGGGUAGAGCACUGUUUCGGCAAGGGGGUCAUCCCGACUUACCAACCCGAUGCAAACUGCGAAUACCGGAGAAUGUUAUCACGGGAGACACACGGCGGGUGCUAACGUCCGUCGUGAAGAGGGAAACAACCCAGACCGCCAGCUAAGGUCCCAAAGUCAUGGUUAAGUGGGAAACGAUGUGGGAAGGCCCAGACAGCCAGGAUGUUGGCUUAGAAGCAGCCAUCAUUUAAAGAAAGCGUAAUAGCUCACUGGUCGAGUCGGCCUGCGCGGAAGAUGUAACGGGGCUAAACCAUGCACCGAAGCUGCGGCAGCGACACUAUGUGUUGUUGGGUAGGGGAGCGUUCUGUAAGCCUGUGAAGGUGGCCUGUGAGGGUUGCUGGAGGUAUCAGAAGUGCGAAUGCUGACAUAAGUAACGAUAAAGCGGGUGAAAAGCCCGCUCGCCGGAAGACCAAGGGUUCCUGUCCAACGUUAAUCGGGGCAGGGUGAGUCGACCCCUAAGGCGAGGCCGAAAGGCGUAGUCGAUGGGAAACAGGUUAAUAUUCCUGUACUUGGUGUUACUGCGAAGGGGGACGGAGAAGGCUAUGUUGGCCGGGCGACGGUUGUCCCGGUUUAAGCGUGUAGGCUGAUUUUCCAGGCAAAUCCGGAAAAUCAAGGCUGAGGCGUGAUGACGAGGCACUACGGUGCUGAAGCAACAAAUGCCCUGCUUCCAGGAAAAGCCUCUAAGCAUCAGGUAACAUCAAAUCGUACCCCAAACCGACACAGGUGGUCAGGUAGAGAAUACCAAGGCGCUUGAGAGAACUCGGGUGAAGGAACUAGGCAAAAUGGUGCCGUAACUUCGGGAGAAGGCACGCUGAUAUGUAGGUGAAGCGACUUGCUCGUGGAGCUGAAAUCAGUCGAAGAUACCAGCUGGCUGCAACUGUUUAUUAAAAACACAGCACUGUGCAAACACGAAAGUGGACGUAUACGGUGUGACGCCUGCCCGGUGCCGGAAGGUUAAUUGAUGGGGUUAGCGGUAACGCGAAGCUCUUGAUCGAAGCCCCGGUAAACGGCGGCCGUAACUAUAACGGUCCUAAGGUAGCGAAAUUCCUUGUCGGGUAAGUUCCGACCUGCACGAAUGGCGUAAUGAUGGCCAGGCUGUCUCCACCCGAGACUCAGUGAAAUUGAACUCGCUGUGAAGAUGCAGUGUACCCGCGGCAAGACGGAAAGACCCCGUGAACCUUUACUAUAGCUUGACACUGAACAUUGAGCCUUGAGUGUAGGAUAGGUGGGAGGCUUUGAAGUGUGGACGCCAGUCUGCAUGGAGCCGACCUUGAAAUACCACCCUUUAAUGUUUGAUGUUCUAACGUUGACCCGUGAUCCGGGUUGCGGACAGUGUCUGGUGGGUAGUUUGACUGGGGCGGUCUCCUCCUAAAGAGUAACGGAGGAGCACGAAGGUUGGCUAAUCCUGGUCGGACAUCAGGAGGUUAGUGCAAUGGCAUAAGCCAGCUUG
rnacentral:rRNA from 1 species